UACGUAGGUGGCAAGCGUUGUCCGGAUUUACUGGGCGUAAAGAGCGCGCAGGCGGCCGAGUAAGUCGAAUGUGAAAGCCCCCGGCUCAACUGGGGAACGUCAUUCGAUACUGUUCGGCUCGAAGAUAGGAGAGGGAAGCGGAAUUUCAGGUGUAGUGGUGAAAUGCGUAGAUAUCUGAAGGAACACCAGUGGCGAAGGCGG
rnacentral:rRNA from 1 species